GUUAGGUCAAUGCAUGGGGAAAGGUGUCAGCUUCCCCACCGUGCAGUCAGUGUUGUGCAAAAGCAGAGGCAGGAUCUGAGGGCAAGACAAACUGGGGGCUCCUGCUUGAUUGUCUCACCUGCCCCUCUUUGGCAGCGGGUUGUGUCCCUGGCCUUUUAGACCUAAGCAGAGAGGGAAUUUCAAGUCAGGUGGCGCCUGUACAGUCUAUGGAAUAGGUAGUUAAUGAGGUCUGGAGUUGAUGUUGCCUUCCUCUCCUUCUCUGAUCACUUUCAUGUCACUCACCCAUCCCAGAUGCCAUGGUGUUCUCAAUGCCCCAGUUCUGGGGUUUCCUGCCCCACUCCACCUUUCCUUUCCUGAUCCUCAAGAAAACUGACUUCUUUUCCUAAGCCCCCCGUCUCCACUUUGUGAGGGGCAUUCUGAGCAUGGAGGCUAAUCAAUAUGUUCUCAGUAUCCAAUGGAAGCCUAACGUGCCACCUCUUCCAAGGGCAGUGCAUUUUAACUCAGACCCAACGCCCCAACCAAAUGAAAGAUCUCUAAUCUGGAAUUUUCAACAAUGGGGCUGGUGGGUCAGGGUGCACCAGAUCUCAGGAGGUUUAUCCAGAAGACUUUCAAGUGCCCCAAGAGGCUGAGUGGUCCGCCAAGUGCCUGCAUGUGUGCAGUCAGGAAGCUUGAGUCUGGGUUCUGCCUGGGGCAAGUCACUACAACUCCCAGAGCCUCAUUUCUGCUAUUCGUAAAAUGGAGAAGACACCUCCUAUGAUAUCAAGUCACUGACUUGUUCCCAGGUGCUAAAAAAUGAAAUUACAUUGCUUAGCCUUGAAACUGUGCAACCUUUCAACUGCUGAUGAAAACAACCUCAGCAAGAUGAAAAUUUCUCCAUUUUCC
rnacentral:lncRNA from 1 species